rnacentral:tmRNA from 1 species
GCGCCAGGUGAACCAUUGAGUCGGGCUCGCUCGCGGCGGAGCCUGUCGGCCGGCACCGCCAAGGGCUAAACCCAAUAGACCGACUACGCACGUAGAGGCCUUCACCGAACUGUCACGGGACGCGGGUUCGAUUCCCGCCGCCUCCAUCC